UACUCGAGUGGCGAACGGGUGAGUAACACGUGGGUGAUCUGCCCUGCACUUCGGGAUAAGCCUGGGAAACUUGGUCUAAUACCGGAUAGGAGCCAUUUUUAGUGUGAUGGUUGGAAAGUUUUUUCGGUGUAGGAUGAGCUCGCGGCCUAUCAGCUUGUUGGUGGGGUAAUGGCCUACCAAGGCGGCGACGGGUAGCCGGCCUGAGAGGGUGGACGGCCACAUUGGGACUGAGAUACGGCCCAG
rnacentral:rRNA from 1 species